rnacentral:rRNA from 1 species
GAGUUUGAUCGUGGCUCAGAGCGAACGCUGGCGGCAUGCUUAACACAUGCAAGUCGCACGGUCAGCAAUGGCAGUGGCGGACGGGUGAGUAACACGUAGGAGUCUAUCUCUGGGUGGGGGACAACAGUGGGAAACUACUGCUAAUACCGCAUGAUACCUGAGGGUCAAAGGCGUAAGUCGCCUGGAGAGGAGCCUGCGUCUGAUUAGCUUGUUGGUGGGGUAAAGGCCUACCAAGGCUACGAUCAGUAGCUGGUCUGAGAGGAUGAUCAGCCACAUUGGGACUGAGACACGGCCCAAACUCCUACGGGAGGCAGCAGUGGGGAAUAUUGGACAAUGGGCGAAAGCCUGAUCCAGCAAUGCCGCGUGUGUGAAGAAGGUCUUCGGAUUGUAAAGCACUUUUGGCAGGGACGAUGAUGACGGUACCUGCAGAAUAAAGCCCGGCUAACUUCGUGCCAGCAGCCGCCGCGGU